GGAUUAGGCAUGCAAGUCGGACGGUAGGGCUUUAUCGUAAGAUAGAGUUUGAGAGUGGCGAACGGGUGAGUAACACGUAGGAAUCUACCCUUAAGACGGGGACAACCCAGGGAAACUUGGGCUAAUACCGGAUGAGAGUGCGAGAGAUUGCAUUUAAAAGGAUGGCGAAAGUUGUCGCUUAGGGAUGAGCCUGCGGUCUAUUAGUUAGUUGGUGAGGUAAGAGCUCACCAAGGCGAUGAUAGAUAGGCGGCCUUAACGGGUGGUCGCCCACACUGGGAUUGAGAUACGGCCCAGACUCCUACGGGAGGCAGCAGUCGAGAAUAGUCUACAAUGGCCGGAAGGCUGAUAGUGCGACGCCGCGUGAACGAGGGAGCCCUUCGGGGUGUAAAGUUCUUUUCUAUACGAGCAGUGCUAUAUAUAUGGAUAGUAUAUAUAGAGGGAUAGUAGUAUAGGAAUAAGCAACGGCUAACUCCGUGCCAGCAGCCGCGGUAACACGGGGGUUGCGAGCGUUGUCCGGAAUUACUAGGCGUAAAGGGCAGGUAGGCGGAUCUACGAGUUUUUUGUUAAAGGCUACGGCUCAACUGUAGUAGAGCAGGAGAUACUGUAGGUCUGGAAUGCGGUAGGGGAAGACAGAAUUCCUGGUGUAGCGGUGGAAUGCGCAGAGAUCAGGAGGAAUACCGAAGGCGAAGGCAGUCUUCUAGGCCGUAAUUGACGCUUAACUGCGAAGGUGUGGGGAUCAAACAGGAUUAGAUACCCUGGUAGUCCAUACAGUAAACGAUAAUCACUAGAUGUCGGGUUCUAGAUGGAUUCGGUGUCGGAGCCAACGCGAUAAGUGAUUCGCCUGGGGAGUACGAUCGCAAGGUUGAAACUCAAAGGAAUUGACGGC
rnacentral:rRNA from 1 species